rnacentral:rRNA from 1 species
UAAGCAUAUCAAUAAGCGGAGGAAAAGAAACUAACAAGGAUUCCCCUAGUAACUGCGAGUGAAGCGGGAAGAGCUCAAAUUUAAAAUCUGGCGUGCCUCCGGCCGUCCGAGUUGUAGUCUGAAGAAGCGUUUUCCGUGUUGGACCGUGUAUAAGUCUCUUGGAACAGGGCGUCAUAGAGGGUGAGAAUCCCGUCUUUGACACGGACUACCAAUGCUUUGUGAUGCGCUCUCAAAGAGUCGAGUUGUUUGGGAAUGCAGCUCAAAAUGGGUGGUAAAUUCCAUCUAAAGCUAAAUAUAGGCGAGAGACCGAUAGCGAACAAGUACCGUGAGGGAAAGAUGAAAAGCACUUUGGAAAGAGAGUUAAACAGUACGUGAAAUUGCUGAAAGGGAAACGCUUGAAGUCAGUCACGUCUGCCAGGACUCAGCCUCGCUUCUGCUUGGUGCACUUUCUGGUUUGAUGGGCCAACAUCAAUUUUGACCGUUGGAGAAAGGCUUUGGGAAUGUGGCACCUUUGGGUGUGUUAUAGCCCUUUGUCAUAUACAACGGUUGGGAUUGAGGACCGCAGCAUGCCUUUAUGGCCGGGGUUCGCCCACGUAC